rnacentral:lncRNA from 1 species
AGAAUUAGGGAUGACGUAAUGAGUUGCGGGAGGGGUGGAUGGAUUGCGUUUCCUCCAUCUCCAUUUCGGGAUCCAGCCGCCUACCACCCUACCCAUGGUGACAAUCCGGCCACCAGCGGCCUCGCUACACCGGAUCAUAUGUCCCCCACGAUUACCUUUUCGGUUGGUGAUAAAAGGAGCAGGGAGUGAUCGGCGUCAAGAGGGUAUGGAAGAGCAGUAGUAAUCGAGUGGCUCCCAGGGAUCUCCAACGCGUGUCCGGGCUGCAUCGUCCCUUGCCCAACAUGCCGACACGGGCUGGCCGGCGUGAG